AUUGAACGCUGGCGGCAUGCUUUACACAUGCAAGUCGAGCGGCAGCGCGGGGGCAACCCUGGCGGCGAGCGGCGAACGGGUGAGUAAUGCAUCGGAACGUAUCCUCGAGUGGGGGAUAACCCAGCGAAAGUUGGGCUAAUACCGCAUGAGCUCUGAGGAGGAAAGCGGGGACCUGCGAGGGCCUCGCGCUGGAGGAGCGGCCGAUGUCCGAUUAGCUAGUUGGUGGGGUAAAGGCUUACCAAGGCGACGAUCGGUAGCUGGUCUGAGAGGAUGAUCAGCCACACUGGGACUGAGACACGGCCCAGACUCCUACGGGAGGCAGCAGUGGGGAAUUUUGGACAAUGGGGGCAACCCUGAUCCAGCCAUGCCGCGUGAGUGAAGAAGGCCUUCGGGUUGUAAAGCUCUUUCGUACGGAAAGAAAUGGGCGAGACUAAUACUCCGGUGUGAUGACGGUACCGUAAGAAGAAGCACCGGCUAACUACGUG
rnacentral:rRNA from 1 species